rnacentral:misc_RNA from 1 species
GGAAAUGGCUGAGAAGGAUGAGACAGAAGGGCGAUGUCCUGCAUGCCGCAGUCCAUAUAAUAAGGAAAAGAUUGUUGGCACGGCAGCAAAUUGUGAAAAGAUGGUGAGCUCGGAGAAGAAAUUGACAUCUCGAAAGGGUAAAAGUAAAACAGCUGAUUCGAGAAAGCAACUUAGCAGUGUGCGUGUUGUUCAAAGGAAUCUUGUCUACAUUGUUGGUUUGCCUCUCAGUUUAGCUGAUGAAGAUCUUCUGCAGCGGAAAGAAUAUUUCGCUCAGUAUGGGAAGGUUCUGAAGGUGUCUAUGUCUCGAACAGCUGCUGGUGCCAUUCAACAGUUCACCAAUAAUACAUGCAGUGUAUAUAUUACCUAUUCAAAGGAGGAGGAAGCAGUCCGUUGUAUUCAGGCUGUACAUGGAUUUAAUUUGGACGGUCGACCUCUAAGAGCGUGCUUUGGAACAACAAAAUACUGUCAUGCUUGGUUGAGGAGUGUGCCCUGCACCAAUCCUGAUUGUUUAUACUUGCAUGAGAUUGGAUCGCAAGAAGAUAGCUUUACUAAGGAUGAAGUAAUAUCGGCUUACACAAGGAGUAGGGUUCAACAAAUUACUGGUGCCAUUACUAGUAUGCAACGGAGAUCAGGGAGUGUUUUACCACCACCGGCAGACGAUUACUGCAAUAACAGCUCUGUUUCUGCAGGGAAACCUUUUAGUAAAACUGCUACAAAUAAUUCAGCAACCAAUGCGAGAGGCUCUCCACCAAAUAGCAGCCCUGGUAGAUCAGCUGCUCUUCCUGCUGGCGCUUUGUGGGGAACGCGUGCACUAAAUAACCAACUGCCACUAGCCAGCGCAACAAGUUCUAAUGGAUUGCCGCCUGCCAGUGCACCAAGUU